GUGCUCGAAGCUCCGGGGGGCAAGUGAGGCAGCUCCUCGGCUUGCAGAGUGCUUUGCAGGCCUCUCGUUCCUGCAAACGACCCAGGUCGAUGGUGGAAAAUCUCCCUGCCCUAAUCGUGGAAUGCUAAGGUCAGAACCAAAGGAAGUAACCUGCUCCACCUGAAAGGACCCUUAACAUAAAUACUUCGAUAGUCCUGCGUUAUGUCUCCCUGCAGCCAAGGCAAUAUCACAACCCAGAUUAGACUGGUUCCCCUCUCCCCAAACCCUAAGUCCCGUGCCCCUCCCUCAGGUCCCAGCUGGUGGCUUCCUCAACCAAGAAUAUACAUGUCACCACACCUAUCACCACGAGGUAUCCCCCUCCUGUGUGCCUACCAAGUACAGGCUAUCCCAGCAGCCCCGCUGAAGGCUGGAGACUCACUUUGUGGCAUAAAUUUCCAUCCUACAUGUGUGAAAAUAAAGACGCACAGACCAAAGAAAGCCCAAGAGAGGUGCUUCAGAGAACAUUGAGUCCAGCUCCAUUGCGUGGUUCUGGGAAAGCCAUGUGACACCACUGUGCCUCUAGAUUAUGAGACUUGGUGAUGAGGGCGACAGUAAUGUGUUUGGAGUGCUGCCUGCAGCACGCGUGCUGAAUUGGUGACAUCUUGUGCCUUGUCUAUGCAGAGCGUCCUAGCAUGACCAAGAACCUAUGUUUAUCUAAAGGUCCUGAAUAUAGCAAGACUGAUAUCAUCCAGCUCCAAUCUUUUCAGUGUACAGUUUCCUAUACAGUUGUUCCAGGAUACCAUGGGUGUUGUGAUUUAAUGCCACACAUGUGUUUUUCUCACAGUUCUCAGAGUCAGAUUCAGAACUCUUCAGGCUAGAGUCAAGGUAUCCCGCCCGCUCUGUUCCUUUCUGGCCUGGAGAGAGAUCCCUUUUACUGCUGUUUGAGAUUGUUGGCAAAAUUCAAUCUUUUACCUCUGAGUUCAGACUCCCCUCUUCUGACGGCUACCACCUCCCACCCCUCCACUGCCCCCCCCCACUCCCCACCCCUGCUUCCAGCCACAAAGUUCUUUUUAAGUGCUUUUGAGGACUCAUGUGAUUAGACAGGCUGACCUGGAUGAUCCAGACUAAUCUCCACCUCUUGUAACCUUAAUAACAUCAAAUCCCUGUUACCAUGUGAGGCCUGAGAUUAGGGUGCAGACGCUGCUGGCUGGGAGGCCAUUAGUCCACUCCUCACAGUGACCUGGAGAAAUUUGCUUGACUUCUUGGUUUUGUUAACUGAGACCAUGGUCGUCAGUCAGGUUGGGGACUGAGCAUGGAGUGGAACUGGGGGUACAUUGGUAGCUUGGCGUUGCCUGUGGGACUUGAUCUCCAAG